AACACACAACUUCUGACCAAAAACAUUCUUAAGCUUUCAUACAUUUCCAAUUUCAUUUAUUGAUCAUUUUUAUCAUAUUUUGAAAGCCAAGGUUUUGAAUUUAUUGUUGUGUUCUUGAGCAUAUUUGUUUACUCAUAUCCACUCUAUUAAGAGAUUCUUGUUUAAGUGAGUGAUUAGUGUUUUGUACACUUGAAGAGAAUUGUUAUUAUCUUGUUGUAAGAAGGAACUUGUGUUUCCUUGGUUGAAGUCUUGGAGUGUUGUAUCUCCGAGCAAAGGUGUUGAGGCUUGUGUCCUCAAGUUGUAAAGGUNN
rnacentral:lncRNA from 1 species